GCCUGGGUGGCUCAGUUGGUUAAGCACCUGACUUCAGCUCAGGUCAUGAUCUCACAGUUUGUGGGUUCGAGCCCCGCAUCAGGCU
rnacentral:tRNA from 1 species